UACAGAGGUCCCAAGCGUUGUUCGGAUUCAUUGGGCGUAAAGGGUGCGUAGGCGGUGGGGUAAGUUGGAUGUGAAAUCUUGGGGCUUAACCUCAAAAUUGCAUUCAAUACUGCUCCUCUCGAGUUCUGUAGAGGAGAUUGGAAUUUACGGUGUAGCAGUGAAAUGCGUAGAUAUCGUAAGGAACGCCAGUGGCGAAAGCGAAUCUCUGGGCAGCAACUGACGCUGAGGCACGAAGGCCAGGGGAGCAAACGGG
rnacentral:rRNA from 1 species